UCCUCUCACCCCAUCCCCCACCUCCCUCAGUCUGGCCUUCCGAUUCAGCUCAGGAGUGGCGGCUUUCAUUCUGAGCCCUCGCCCAAGUUUCAGCGACAGGAAGAGACGGGACCAGGGAGGGAGCAGAACUGAGGACACCGUGACUGAGCAGCCUGGAACCUAGACCUGGAGAUGACUUUUGAAUCUACUUUGGGGCAACAGAAAGCUUCACUGGGAAUGAAGAGGCCUGAUCUGCUAUCAGCCUGCUCUGUGACCUUGGAUAACAGCACAAGAACAUGACGGCGGCGUGAGCACUUCCUGGGGACAGAGUACAGACUUGGUUUCAACAAUUUGUUUUCUGUAGCUUUGGAGAAACUACUCAAUUUUUGAGUCUGAAUUUUCUCCUUUGAAAAAUAGAGAUUCUAACUUUUUAGGAUUGUUGUAAGAAAUACAUGAAAAAAAUAAAAUUUAUCCCAUGA